GUCGUGGUUGCCGAGUGGUUAAGGCGUUUGACUCGAAAUUAAAUGGGCUCUGUUCGCACAUCUUCGAAUCCUGUCCGUGACG
rnacentral:tRNA from 1 species